UACGGAGGGUGCAAGCGUUAAUCGGAAUUACUGGGCGUAAAGCGCACGCAGGCGGUCUGUCAAGUCGGAUGUGAAAUCCCCGGGCUCAACCUGGGAACUGCAUCCGAAACUGGCAGGCUAGAGUCUUGUAGAGGGGGGUAGAAUUCCAGGUGUAGCGGUGAAAUGCGUAGAGAUCUGGAGGAAUACCGGUGGCGAAGGCGGCCCCCUGGACAAAGACUGACGCUCAGGUGCGAAAGCGUGGGGAGCAAACAGGCUUAGAUACCCUGGUAGUCCACGCCGUAAACGAUGUCGACGUGGAGGUUGUGGCCUUGAGGCGUGGGUGCCGGAGCUAACGCGUUAAGUCGACCGCCUGGGGAGUACGGCCGCAAGGUUAAA
rnacentral:rRNA from 1 species